rnacentral:rRNA from 1 species
GACGAACGCUGGCGGCGUGCUUAACACAUGCAAGUCGAACGGAAAGGCCCUGCUCUUGUGGGGUGCUCGAGUGGCGAACGGGUGAGUAACACGCGAGUAACCUGCCCUUGACUUUGGGAUAACUUCAGGAAACUGGGGCUAAUAUCGGAUAGGAGCUCCUGCUGCAUGGUGGGGGUUGGUAAGUUUCGGCGGUUGGGGAUGGACUCGCGGCUUAUCAGCUUGUUGGUGGGGUAGUGGCUUACGAAGGCUUUGACGGGUAGCCGGCCUGAGAGGGUGACCGGCCACAAUGGGACUGAGGUACGGCCCAGACUCGUACGGGAGGCAGCAGGGGGGAAUAUUGCACAAUGGGCGGGAGCCUGAUGCAACAGCGCCGCGUGCGGGAUGACGGCCUUCGAGUUAUAAACCGCUUUCGCCUGUGACGAAGCGUGAGUGACGGUAAUGGGUAAAGAAGCACCGGCUAACUACGUG